AGAGUUUGAUCCUGGCUCAGGAUGAACGCUGGCGGCGUGCUUAACACAUGCAAGUCGAACGAUGAUCCGGUGCUUGCACCGGGGAUUAGUGGCGAACGGGUGAGUAACACGUGAGUAACCUGCCCUUAACUCUGGGAUAAGCCUGGGAAACUGGGUCUAAUACCGGAUAUGACUCCUCAUCGCAUGGUGGGGGGUGGAAAGCUUUUUGUGGUUUUGGAUGGACUCGCGGCCUAUCAGCUUGUUGGUGAGGUAAUGGCUCACCAAGGCGACGACGGGUAGCCGGCCUGAGAGGGUGACCGGCCACACUGGGACUGAGACACGGCCCAGACUCCUACGGGAGGCAGCAGUGGGGAAUAUUGCACAAUGGGCGCAAGCCUGAUGCAGCGACGCCGCGUGAGGGAUGACGGCCUUCGGGUUGUAAACCUCUUUCAGUAGGGAAGAAGCGAAAGUGACGGUACCUGCAGAAGAAGCGCCGGCUAACUACGUGCCAGCAGCCGCGGUAAUACGUAGGGCGCAAGCGUUAUCCGGAAUUAUUGGGCGUAAAGAGCUCGUAGGCGGUUUGUCGCGUCUGCCCGUGAAAGUCCGGGGCUCAACUCCGGAUCUGCGGUGGGUACGGGCAGACUAGAGUGAUGUAGGGGAGACUGGAAUUCCUGGUGUAGCGGUGAAAUGCGCAGAUAUCAGGAGGAACACCGAUGGCGAAGGCAGGUCUCUGGGCAUUAACUGACGCUGAGGAGCGAAAGCAUGGGGAGCGAACAGGAUUAGAUACCCUGGUAGUCCAUGCCGUAAACGUUGGGCACUAG
rnacentral:rRNA from 1 species